GCGGCUAGAGGGUCAGUGGACAGAGAGGAGCGUGAUCGCAUCUGCUCCAUCUCUCCCUCUCCUUCCCCAGAACAAAUCGCUCACGGUUCAGCCCCCUUCCCAGGGAGUGGCAAGACCCCAGGGUCACCAGGAAUGCGGAAUCUGCCACCUGGAACCACCCUAGUCCAUAGGGAUGCCCGGCCACGCUGCCUUGUGCCUGUGUGAGCCAGGAGACCAUGGGGACCCUAUUGUCACUGCCACCUCUCAACCUCACGGGAAAGCUGGGGAAGCCAGAGCUGGGGUUGACCAAGCCAGCGAUGUCCCCGCCCAGGCUGCAGCGCUGGCCCGCCCGACGGCCCGCGGGAUGCUAAGGAUCGGGUCGCUGCAAACAUUGUCCCCAAGGUCCCAUCGCCACACUCUAAUGCUCAUACUCCAUCGCCAACUUUCUUGAUCUAGUACGAGGCUUCCUUGGGAUUUUAUUAUUUUAUUUUAUUUUAUUGGCUGGGGAUGGACCCAGGGAGUUGCGCAAAAGCUAGGCGAGCGCCCUGUCGCCGGCCACCAGCCCCCGGGGCCUGGGGAUUCUAUUUCGAGCGCUAAAAUUCCGAUUCCAAGGCUCCGCUUCUCCAAUGCAACGCUGAGCUGCGUCCGGACCAGGAAUGCAACAGCCUGGUGCAUUCCAAAGCGAGCGGUUCGGUUUCCAACGUGAGGUUCGGAUCCGAACUCCCCGGCUCUCCCGCGGACCCGCCCAGCCCCUGGUUCCUCUGGAGCCAACCUACAGCUUGGAUCCCGGCGGGGACAGCAUGCAUGCUGGGCUCCGAUCGACCCCGGGUGCCGGGGACCUGGCGCGCACCGCAGCGGCACGAUGCGCCCGUGCGCCCUGGGCUGGGGCUCCCGUCGGGUCCCGGGGCCGGCGAUCGUGCGCUCCUGUCCCAGUGCUCCGGAAAGGACGCCACUUGAAUGCACAAGCAGCUCCAGAAACCAAGACAACAAUCACAACAACCAAAGUCGCCUCUCCAUCUCCAAGGGAGGCAUGAGGGUGUUGGGAGAGCCGCGCAGCCCAGUGGAGGGCCAGAUGGGGGGAACAUCGCCCCCUGGUGGCCUCUACCUGUCUUUUCUUCUGUCGGAGAUCUGAGUGGCUCACUGGAGGGACAGUAGGGAUGCAUGAGGCCGGGCGGCUUCCCCUGGGCUGGGGCCAUGAGAGAGUCGUGGGUUCGAAUCCUGGCUGCGAUUUCAAGGGGGAAAAACAAGACGUCAAGGUCGUGAAGGGGUUGGAAGAGGCACGCUGGGGACUGAGAAGGGUGAGAGAGAGAAUUCGGUGACAUGAACGCGGAGG